GACGAACGCUGGCGGCGUGCCUAAUACAUGCAAGUCGAACGCUUCUUUCCUCCCGAGUGCUUGCACUCAAUUGGAAAGAGGAGUGGCGGACGGGUGAGUAACACGUGGGUAACCUACCCAUCAGAGGGGGAUAACACUUGGAAACAGGUGCUAAUACCGCAUAACAGUUUAUGCCGCAUGGCAUAAGAGUGAAAGGCGCUUUCGGGUGUCGUUGAUGGAUGGACCCGCGGUGCAUUAGCUAGUUGGCGAGGUAACGGCUCACCAAGGCCACGAUGCAUAGCCGACCUGAGAGGGUGAUCGGCCACACUGGGACUGAGACACGGCCCAGACUCCUACGGGAGGCAGCAGUAGGGAAUCUUCGGCAAUGGACGAAAGUCUGACCGAGCAACGCCGCGUGAGUGAAGAAGGUUUUCGGAUCGUAAAACUCUGUUGUUAGAGAAGAACAAGGACGUUAGUAACUGAACGUCCCCUGACGGUAUCUAACCAGAAAGCCACGGCUAACUACGUG
rnacentral:rRNA from 1 species